ACUUUAAAUAUUUUAAAUUAUAAUUUUUUUAAUACAGAUUUCAUUCAAUAAAGCCAUUAAAAAAGAAUGAGAUUGCUCUUCUAUGCUGAUGUGGAGAGAUAUUAAAUUCCUUAUUAAGAGAAAAACCACAAGCCCAGAACAGUGUGUAUAGUACAUAUAAUGGGUGUGUAUGUGCUCAGAUGACUUCAGGAAGAGAACACAAAUUGUUGACAGUGAUUACCUCUAGAAAUGGGAAUGAAGUUCUAGAGCAGAAGGGAUUUUAAAUUUUAACUUUCAUUGUAUACUUUUUUUUUAAUUUAGGCUUUUUUUUUUUUUUUUUAGAUGUAGUCUCACUCUGUUGCCCAGGCUGGAGUGCAGUGGCAUGAUCUUGACUCACUGCAACCUCUGCCUCCUAGGUUCAAGCGAUUUCCCUGCCUCAGCCUCCUGACGAACUGGGAUUACAGGCUAUGCCAUAGCAAGAAGGUUCUCACCAGAUGCCAGUGCCAUGCUGUUGGACUUCCCAGCCUCCAGAACUGUGAGCAAGUCCCAGGAGCUGCAGGGUGAGUUGACAAGCUGGAGACCCAGGAGAGCUGGCGGUACAGUUCCAAUCUGAAGGGGGCAGGCUCUACACCCAGAAAGAGGUGAUGUUUCAGUUUCAGUCCAAAGGCAGGAGAAAAGCCAACAUCCCAGUUUGAAAGCAGGCAGGCAGGAGAAAUUCUCUCUUACUCAGAGGAGAGCCAGCCUUUUUGUUCUAGUUAGGCCUUCAAGAGAUUAGAUGAGGCCAACCUCCACCUCCACCAGGGUGAAGGCAAACUGCUGAAUUCAACUGUUCAUCUCAUUAAGUGAUACUCAGUUAUUCAGACAGCCACAAUAAUGUUUGACCAAAUAUCUGGACACUUUCUGGCCCAGUCAUUUUUACAUUUGACAUAAAAUUAACCACCACUGUCUUCCCAAUCUAUUUUUUA
rnacentral:lncRNA from 13 species